rnacentral:tRNA from 2 species
GGGCCGGUGUCAGAGCGGUUAAUGUGCCUGUGUGCUAAACAGGUGUGGCCGAAAGGCCACCGGGGGUUCGAAUCCCUCCCGGUCCG